rnacentral:lncRNA from 1 species
GGUGUGGAGUGCAGUGGCCAAGGGAAUGAGUUGGAACAGGCAGAAGUUACCUACAUUCUCCUCCACCACCUGUGAUGAUGUAUAUAUUGAGGUGAAUAGCGAAGCAGAAAACUUCAAAAAACCUUGACUGCAAACUUUCAGGGUUCCUGUUAGGGUAACCUCUCUUAAUCAGAAAGAACUAAGAGCUCUCUCCUAGCACAAGCUGAUUGGAUUUUUACAAAUGACCUUGGUCCUUCAGGGACAAGCCAGCAUGAGGGAUGAAUGAAUACGCAUGAGGGAGCAAAGACAAGGCAGGGGAUCAAGCCAGAAGGAUUUGGUAGCAAAGAAGGGAUUGACAUUGGCACUGAUGGGAAGGAGAGACUGCCGUGGUUUGCCCAAAAAUGAGACAGAACGUUUUCUUUCCUCCUGACGGAUAUGCAUUGGAAACAGGCAAAAGCUGAGAUUGGGAAGGUGAUGAGAGAAACAAUACAACCAGAACCCCGUCUCCACAAUCUGAAG